rnacentral:tRNA from 1 species
AGUAAAGUCAGCUAAUUAAGCUCUUGGGCCCAUACCCCAAAAAUGUUGGUUAAAGUCCUUCCUUCACUA